rnacentral:rRNA from 1 species
ACAGUCACACAUUAGAUACCCCCGUAGUCCUGGCCGUAAACGAUGUGGACUUGGUGUUGGAGGCCCUUUGGGGGCAUUCAGUGCCGGAGAGAAGUUGUUAAGUCUGCUACUUGGGAGUACGUCCGCAAGGAUGAAACUUAAAGGAAUUGGCGGGGGAGCACCGCAACGGGAGGAGCGUGCGGUUUAAUUGGAUUCAACACCGUAAACUCACCAGGGAAGACUGUUACAUGAAGGCCGAGAUGAAGACUCUGCUAGAUUUUCAG